CCACUCAAGGGAGUUUUUGGUUGUGUGUCAGUGACCUAAUCAAUACUGGAUUGGAUUGGUUGGUAAAUCCAGUGUAUUUUAAGGCACCAGAGUGUGUCAGCUUAGUGUCACGGCACUCUAUAUUUCCAAGUCAGACGCCUUUUAAUUGAAUUCAACUGGAGCGAGACAAGAUGGAUGGUGUGGAGCUGUAGAGGGACUGAGGCGGGUGAAAGCGGCCGCGCAGCGAGCACUCUGAGCGGGCACACGGAGCGAGUGGACGCUGAUGGAUCAUGAGAGGGGCCGCCGGAGGAGAGCGCGGCCGGAAAGAGCGCCUGCUCGCUGGGCGCGCAUGUGAGGAUCCGCCCGGGAGGCAGACGGAGCUCUGGAUGUGUCAGUCAAACUGAGUUGGAAACGAGGACUGUGAGCGACUCCCACAGCGUUUAAGUUUCUUGCCUGUAAAUCUCUGCUCUGCUUGGGGAGAUAAAACGGCCCAAAUGAAACGAAGACGCACGUCAAGUAUUUUUUUCUACUCAAGCAUGGCGGUGAUAAUUGGAUUGUGUGGACACCUGUGUGAGUGCAGUAUAUCCAGGGGAUUAGAGAACGGGAUAGCUUUUGCAGGUUCUGUCCAGACCUGUGGGCUGAAUUCUCCUGAUUCGUCAUCUCGCGGAGGACCAGAUCUGCACAUUUGGGGACGUCGGUGUCAGCACACGUGAAGCAUCAACUUUGACCUCUCAGUAAAUGCAUACUUUGGAGCCGUGCUAAAACAGUCGUGCAUAUGGAAUUUACUAAUGCCAUUUUGUUCUGUGUGACUCAUUUCACCAAAAUAAACUCCAAACCAUUUUUAUAAUAAAACUAUUUUAAUGCAAGAUAACUGAUUGUCUUCAAAAACGAUUAGUAAUUUCUGCCAUACGGUAUUGGUCUUUGUUAAUACAUCAAUGUAAGAAUCAUUUUGAAAUGUUUGGAGAUAGCUUUACUUGGUUUUUGAGAGAGAUUUAAUGCAUUUUAUAUGUUUAUUCAAAAAUAAAGAAAGAUGUUAUAUAUUCAUACAGUUUUAUAAUUAAGCUUCAGUCAAGUUACUAUUAAAAAGUAGUUAACUAUACUACAGUUUUAAACUACUGUAAAUCGAAGAAAAAAUACUAGAAACCAAACUUUUAUAGAACAAAGUUGAAGAUACAGAAGCUUUUAACUACAUGUUUUGCUACAAAAAAGACAGAGGGACUCAAAUGAAUCAGUGAGUCAUUUAUUUGAAUUGAUUUAUUGGAAUGAAGCAACCAAACAAAUUGAUUCACUAAAAUCAGCUGCACUUUUCAACAUUUUUCAAGCCAGUUUAGGAGAGUCUUUGAUUAUCUCAUUCAGCUAUGAAGCUUUUUGUGUAAAAUAAUGUGAUAAAAGAUGCUUUGUCAUGCUACUGGUUGAAACAUUAGUUGUUCAUUUGUUGGUAUUACUCAUUUGGAAAAUUAAUUGCUGUAUAUCAGUGACUUUUGUUCAAAAACAACAAAAGAUUGAUUGUCAGUACAUUGUUUGUCUAUUCAAAACUUUCGCCUGUCACAAUAUUGUGAUUUUUUUUUCUUAAUUGUCUUCAUUUUAAGU